rnacentral:rRNA from 1 species
AUUGAACGCUGGCGGCGGGCCUAACACAUGCAAGUCGAGCGGAUAAAGGGAGCUUGUUCUUGGAUUAAGCGGCGGACGGGCGGGUAAUGCCCAGGAAUCUGCCUGGCAGUGGGGGAUGACGUCCCGAAACGGGAGCUAAUACCGCAUACGUCAAGAGCGUGAACGUGGGGGUUCUUCGGACAUAUCGCUUUUUGAUGAGCCUAGGUCGGAUUAGCUAGUUGGUGGGGUAAAGGCCUACCAAGGCGACGAUCCGUAACUGGUCUGAGAGGAUGAUCAGGCACACUGGAACUGAGACACGGUCCAGACUCCUACGGGAGGCAGCAGUAGGGAAUCUUAGGCAAUGGGCGAAAGCCUGAUCCAGCCAUGCCGCGUGUGUGAAGAAGGUCUUCGGAUUGUAAAGCACUUUUAGUUGGGAGGAACGACAGUAAGUUUAUACCUUGCUGUUUUGACGUUACCUACAGAAUAAGCACCGGCUAACUACGUG